rnacentral:tRNA from 1 species
CGGGGGGUUGGCGCAAUGGUAGCGCGUGUCUCUCCUAUUACUUGGACGAUAUCAAGACAAGGUUGAGGUAAUUCAUCCUUUUGAUUUCGUAUACUCAUCCGUCAUCCAUCUGACUCACGUCAGGGUUCGAGUCCCUUGCUCCUCGG